GUGAGGAAUAUUGGUCAAUGGGCGGAAGCCUGAACCAGCCAUGCCGCGUGAAGGAAGAAGGCUUUCGGGUUGUAAACUUCUUUUGUCAGGGACGAAAAAAAUGACGGUACCUGACGAAUAAGCCACGGCUAACUACGUGCCAGCAGCCGCGGUAAUACGUAGGUGGCAAGCGUUAUCCGGAUUUACUGGGUGUAAAGGGCGUGUAGGCGGGAAAGCAAGUCAGAUGUGAAAACUAUGGGCUCAACCCAUAGCCUGCAUUUGAAACUGUUUUUCUUGAGUACUGGAGAGGCAGAUGGAAUUCCUAGUGUAGCGGUGAAAUGCGUAGAUAUUAGGAGGAACACCAGUGGCGAAGGCGAUCUGCUGGACAGCAACUGACGCUGAGGCGCGAAAGCGUGGGGAGCAAACAGGAUUAGAAACCCGUGUAGUCC
rnacentral:rRNA from 1 species